rnacentral:rRNA from 1 species
CAGUCACGUCUGUUGGAAUUCAGCCUGGCUUCUGCCUGGUGUACUUUCCGUCCGACGGGUCAGCAUCAAUUUCGACCGAGGAAAAAAGACACAAGGAAUGUGGCUGUCUUCGGGCAGUGUUAUAGCCUCGUGUUGUAUGUCUCGGUUGGGACUGAGGAACGCAGCGCGCCUAUUGGCCGGGGGUUCGCGCCCCUCGGUACGCGCUUAGGAUGCUGGCAUAAUGGCUUUAAGCGACCCGUCUUGAAACACGGACCAAGGAGUCUAACAUGUAUGCGAGUGUU